GUGCAAUGGGGUGUGACUUUCUCCACCUGAAAUCACUGUGACCAGUGAAAUUGAGCUCUUUACCCCUGAGUCACA